AUUGUUUCUCAGAAGUACAUCCGUCCAUCACUAAUGUGUAAAAUACAUGUACCUAUAUAAAUAGACCACCGCCUCCGAGUUUCAACGCCGUGUUUGCUGCCAGACGCUGAGCUUCUCUGAGACAUCCUCGAUCGUCUCUUCAUUUGGAAUUACAACCGUAGUAUUUUGUUUGUGGCAUAAACUACAGUCCAUCCUUCUUUCACUGGAAUGAAGACCAUGCCCAGGACCAUUUUUUGAAAGGACCCGGUUGUAACUUUUAAGGCUUGGUUUGUACAAUGGAUAAAACCUAAGUGAACGUCAUGUGAUUUAUCAGUGUUGCUGCCCUGUGCUCCGGCCACCUGGUGGAUUAUGACGACAUGAGGGGCUGGAGAGAAGAGGAAAGUGGUGUUGAAGCCCACAGGAGCAAACAAAACACACCCUCCUCAAUUCCUCCCGAACGUGUUUCUUCUGCUUCUACUAUGACAGUUCUGGAGCAAAGACACUGAUGAAACGAUACUCAUUGAUGAAAAGAAUAUGUUUCUGACUUUCAAAUCCUCUUUCCUGGUGAAAGAAACAGCAAACAUUCAAGCUUCAGCAUCUGUUCUCCCAUUGCACUGAGGAAUGUCCUGUCUGGCAGCACCAACUCUGCAGA
rnacentral:lncRNA from 1 species